rnacentral:rRNA from 1 species
CUGCGGCAGCGACGCUUAUGCGUUGUUGGGUAGGGGAGCGUUCUGUAAGCCUGCGAAGGUGGCCUGUGAGGGUUGCUGGAGGUAUCAGAAGUGCGAAUGCUGACAUAAGUAACGAUAAAGCGGGUGAAAAGCCCGCUCGCCGGAAGACCAAGGGUUCCUGUCCAACGUUAAUCGGGGCAGGGUGAGUCGACCCCUAAGGCGAGGCCGAAAGGCGUAGUCGAUGGGAAACGGGUUAAUAUUCCCGUACUUGGUGUUACUGCGAAGGGGGGACGGAGAAGGCUAUGUUGGCCGGGCGACGGUUGUCCCGGUUUAAGCGUGUAGGUGUGUGUUCCAGGUAAAUCCGGUUCACUUUAACACUGAGGCGUGACGACGAGGCACUACGGUGCUGAAGCAACAAAUGCCCUGCUUCCAGGAAAAGCCUCUAAGCAUCAGGUAACAUCAAAUCGUACCCCAAACCGACACAGGUGGUCAGGUAGAGAAUACCAAGGCGCUUGAGAGAACUCGGGUGAAGGAACUAGGCAAAAUGGUGCCGUAACUUCGGGAGAAGGCACGCUGACACGUAGGUGAAGUGAUUUACUCAUGGAGCUGAAGUCAGUCGAAGAUACCAGCUGGCUGCAACUGUUUAUUAAAAACACAGCACUGUGCAAACACGAAAGUGGACGUAUACGGUGUGACGCCUGCCCGGUGCCGGAAGGUUAAUUGAUGGGGUCAGCGCAAGCGAAGCUCCUGAUCGAAGCCCCGGUAAACGGCGGCCGUAACUAUAACGGUCCUAAGGUAGCGAAAUUCCUUGUCGGGUAAGUUCCGACCUGCACGAAUGGCGUAAUGAUGGCCAGGCUGUCUCCACCCGAGACUCAGUGAAAUUGAACUCGCUGUGAAGAUGCAGUGUACCCGCGGCAAGACGGAAAGACCCCGUGAACCUUUACUAUAGCUUGACACUGAACAUUGAGCCUUGAUGUGUAGGAUAGGUGGGAGGCUUUGAAGUGUGGA